CCUACGGGAGGCAGCAGUGAGGAAUAUUGGUCAAUGGACGAGAGCCUGAACCAGCCAAGUAGCGUGAAGGAUGACUGCCCUAUGGGUUGUAAACUUCUUUUAUAUGGGAAUAAAAUGAUCCACGUGUGGGAUUUUGUAUGUCCCAUAUGAAUAAGGAUCGGCUAACUCCGUGCAAGCAGCCGCGGUAAUACGGAGGCUCCGAGCGUUAUCCGGAUUUAUUGGGUUUAAAGGGAGCGUAGGUGGGUUGUUAAGUCAGUUGUGAAAGUUUGCGGCUCAACCGUAAAAUUGCAGUUGAAACUGGCAGGCUUGAGUACAGGAGAGGUAGGCGGAAUUCGUGGUGUAGCGGUGAAAUGCUUAGAUAUCACGAAGAACUCCGAUUGCGAAGGCAGCUCACUGGACUGCAACUGACACUGAGGCUCGAAAGUGUGGGUAUCAAACAGGAUUAGAUACCCGAGUAGUC
rnacentral:rRNA from 1 species